UUUGAAAUAUCACAACAAAUACAGUACCAUUUUUGUCACAAAAAUUCUAAACAAAACAAUCGAUUAACGACGGUCGCUUUUUUACCUCAAAAUAUUAGCAUCUCCGUCGUGUUCUGAUUUUCCUCCGAAUCGGAGAAGAAAGGCAACCAAAUUCCGGUUGUACGUCGUCGUUUUCUAGGGCAUCGAAAUCUUGGUCCUCAGAAUUCGUGGUUUUGUGAUUCUUCCCGGCGCUCCUCAAGCUUACGGCAGCCUGAGCGCGUGGCGCUCUCGAUUGAUUCCAUGGUCUGAUCUUCCGCGAAUCGCAAUCCGACGGUGGCGAUGGCGUCGGCGCAGGGCCAAUCAUCGAAUUUGGAUCUUUUCGAUGCGUAUUUAUGACGAGCCGAUUUGGACCGCAAUGGCCAGAUUAGUGGCAAUGAAGCCGUCGCUUUCUUCCAGGGCUCCGGUCUCCCCAAACAGACAUGGGCACAUGCAGACCGGAGGCAGACUGGUUUCCUUGGUCGGGCAGAUUUUAUACUACUGUUAGUGAGGAAAAGCAGCAGGCCAAUCAGCAGACACCCAGAGUACCAGAAUUGGAGAAACGUCAUGUAAAUCAACCGAGUACAGAGGAGGUUAACUCACUGAACUCAAGUUCAAACAAGCAACCGAAGCUGAUAAAAAGGUACUAGAACUUUAAUGUUUCCCCAAUUUUUUCAUCUUGGGCAGUAAAGUUAUGUGUGCAAGUUACUUCCUGAUAAGUUUCAAAUCAUAACAAAUAUGCCAAACUUGGAGAAAGAAAUUUUGGAUGCUAGAGAUAAUAUUUAAUAGUUUUAUCAUUGUUACAAAAUUGAUGAUUGUAUUAUUAAAUUGGGGCUGUGCUUUUUUCUUUUCAGCCUUAAUUUGCUGUAAUUUUUUACCCUCUCUAAUAAAAUUUGUUUCGCUGA